UACAGAGGGUGCAAGCGUUGUUCGGAAUCAUUGGGCGUAAAGGGCGUGUAGGCGGUUUGUUAAGUCAUGUGUGAAAUCCCCCGGCUCAACCGAGGAACGACGCAUGAAACUGGCAAGCUAGAGUACCGAAGAGGGGGGUGGAAUUCCCGGUGUAGCGGUGAAAUGCGCAGAUAUCAGGAGGAACACCAAUUGCGAAGGCAGCUCGCUGGGACGUUACUGACGCUGAGACGCGAAAGCGUGGGGAGCGAACAGG
rnacentral:rRNA from 1 species